rnacentral:rRNA from 1 species
AUUGAACGCUGGCGGCAUGCUUUACACAUGCUAGUCGAACGGUAACGCGGGGCAACCUGGCGACGAGUGGCGAACGGGUGAGUAAUGCAUCGGAACGUGCCCGGUAGUGGGGGAUAACUGCUCGAAAGAGCAGCUAAUACCGCAUACGACCUGAGGGUGAAAGGGGGGGAUCGCAAGACCUCUCGCUAUUGGAGCGGCCGAUGUCGGAUUAGCAAGUUGGUGGGGUAAGGGCCCACCAAGGCGACGAUCCGUAGCUGGUCUGAGAGGACGACCAACCACACUGGGACUGAGACACCGCCCAGACUCCUACGGGAGGCAGCAGUGGGGAAUUUUGGACAAUGGACGCAAGUCUGAUCCAGCCAUGCCGCGUGCGGGAAGAAGGCCUUCGGGUUGUAAACCGCUUUUGUCAGAGAAGAAAUCUUCUGGGUUAAUACCUCGGGAGGAUGACGGUAUCUGAAGGAUAAGCACCGGCUAACUACGUGCCAGCAGCCGCGGUAA